UACAGAGACUGCAAGCGUUACUCGGAUUCACUGGGCGUAAAGGGAGCGCAGGCGGACCGGUGUGUCAGAUGUGAAACCCCAGGGCUCAACCCUGGGACUGCGUCUGAAACUGCCGGUCUAGGGACUCGGAGGGGCUAGUGGAAUUCCUGGUGGUGCAGUGAAAUGCGUAGAUAUCAGGAGGAACACCAACGGCGAAGGCAGCUAGCUGGACGAGAUCCGACGCUCAGGCUCGAAAGUAUGGGGAGCAAAAAGG
rnacentral:rRNA from 1 species